rnacentral:rRNA from 1 species
AUGAAUCAUGCGUCAGCUCCAGGUCCGGAUGGCUUGCCUGUCCGUUUCUUUCAGGCUUUCUGGUCUACCAUCAAGGAUGACAUCUUAGCUCUGUUCCUCGAAUUUUCUAGAGGAACCCUUGAUGUAGCCCGCCUUAAUUAUGGGAUCAUAUCCUUGAUCCCGAAAAUCCGAGGGGCUUCGGAUAUUAGGCAAUUUCGGCCGAUUAUGGUCCUUAACAUGAUCUUUCGGAUCUUGGCUAAGGGGUACGCCACUAGGGCAGCCCUUAUUGCUCCUAGGAUCCAUCACCCGAACCAAUCGGCCUUCACUAAAGGUAGAUUUAUUCUGGAUGGGAUCCUAGUCCUUCACGAAAUCCUCCAUGAAGUCAAGCAUAAACGCCUACGUGCAGUCUUCUUUAUGAUAGACUUUCACAAGGCUUACGACUCAGUGCACUGGUCUUUCCUUCGGGAGGUAAUGUUGAAACGUGGAUUCGACCCUCAUUGGGUUACUCGCGUAAUGCAACUAGUGACCAGUGGACGCACGACGAUUAACAUCAACGGAGAGGUGGGCCCAUAUUUUCCCACGGGUCAGGGGGUGCGUUAG